rnacentral:rRNA from 1 species
UGAGGAACAUGACCUUCGGCGGGGGAUAGCCGGCCCAACGGCCGGGUAAUACCGCGUACGACCACAUGGGGACAUCCCUGAGUGGUGAAAGCAGCAAUGCGCCGAUGGAGUGCCUCGCGGCCUAUCAGCUAGUUGGUGAGGUAACGCUCACCAAGGCGACGACGGGUAGCUGGCCUGAGAGGGUNAUCGGCCANAUUGGAACUGAGACACGGUCCAGCUCCGUAGGGAG